rnacentral:rRNA from 1 species
AUUGUGUAUCUACCUAUAUUGGCUUCUCCGGCAGGCGGUUCCAGGGCGGAAUCGAGCCUAACAGCACCUGCCGAAGGGGCAAACCACUGCUCUAAACGUAUUGUCUGAGUACCAAAAAAACAAAUUAUCAAAAUUUUCAAUUGUGGAUCUCUUGGUUCUGGCAUCGAUGAAGAACGCAGCGAAAUGCGAUAAGUAAUGUGAAUUGCAGAAUUCAGCGAACCAUCGAAUCUUUGAACGCACAUUGCGCCCAUUAGUAUUCUAGUGGGCAUGCCUGUUCGAGCGUCAUUUCAACCCUUAAGCCUAGCUUAGUGUUGGCUAUCUACUGUAUUGUAGUGGCCUAAAUACAACGGCGGAUCUGUGGUAUCCUCUGAGCGUAGUAAUUUUUUUCUCUCGCUUUUGUUAGGUGCUGCAGCCCUCGGCCGCUAAACCCCCCAAUUUUUAAUGGUUGACCUCGGAUCAGGUAGGGAUACCCGCUGAACUUAAGCAUAUCAAU